rnacentral:rRNA from 1 species
AGUGAACGCUGGCGGUAGGCCUAACACAUGCAAGUCGAACGGCAGCACAGUAAGAGCUUGCUCUUACGGGUGGCGAGUGGCGGACGGGUGAGGAAUACAUCGGAAUCUACUUUUUCGUGGGGGAUAACGUAGGGAAACUUACGCUAAUACCGCAUACGACCUACGGGUGAAAGCAGGGGAUCUUCGGACCUUGCGCGAUUGAAUGAGCCGAUGUCGGAUUAGCUAGUUGGCGGGGUAAAGGCCCACCAAGGCGACUAUCCGUAGCUGGUCUGAGAGGAUGAUCAGCCACACUGGAACUGAGACACGGUCCAGACUCCUACGGGAGGCAGCAGUGGGGAAUAUUGGACAAUGGGCGCAAGCCUGAUCCAGCCAUACCGCGUGGGUGAAGAAGGCCUUCGGGUUGUAAAGCCCUUUUGUUGGGAAAGAAAAGCGGCAGGUUAAUACCCCGCUGUUCUGACGGUACCCAAAGAAUAAGCACCGGCUAACUUCGUG